CAGAGAUGAGGCUGUGCUCGAAAGAGAACCUGCACACAGGUGCUGCAUGGCUGUCGUCAGCUCGUGUCGUGAGAUGUUGGGUUAAGUCCCGCAACGAGCGCAACCCUUGCCAUUAGUUGCUACGAAAGGGCACUCUAAUGGGACUGCCGGUGACAAACCGGAGGAAGGUGGGGGAUGACGUCAAGUCCUCAUGGCCCUUAUAGGUGGGGCUACACACGUCAUACAAUGGCCGGUACAAAGGGCUGCAAACCCGCGAGGGGGAGCCAAUCCAUCAAAGCCGGUCGUAGUCCGGAUCGCAGUCUGCAACUCGACUGCGUGAAGUCGGAAUCGCUAGUAAUCGUGGAUCAGCAUGUCACGGUGAAUACGUUCCCGGGUCUU
rnacentral:rRNA from 1 species